rnacentral:rRNA from 1 species
AAGACCUUGCGCUUUUGGAGCGGCCGAUGCCUGAUUAGCUUGUUGGUAAGGUAAAAGCUUACCAAGGCUUCGAUCAGUAGCUGGUCUGAGAGGACGACCAGCCACACUGGGACUGAGACACGGCCCAGACUCCUACGGGAGGCAGCAGUGGGGAAUUUUGGACAAUGGGGGCAACCCUGAUCCAGCCAUGCCGCGUGAGUGAAGAAGGCCUUCGGGUUGUAAAGCUCUUUCAGCCGGAACGAAACGGUUACGGUUAACACCCGUGACUACUGACGGUACCGGAAGAAGAAGCACCGGCUAACUACGUGCCAGCAGCCGCGGUAAUACGUAGGGUGCGAGCGUUAAUCGGAAUUACUGGGCGCAAAGCGUGCGCAGGUGGUUUUGUAAGUCAGAUGUGAAAGCCCCGGGCUCAACCUGGGAACU